UACGGGGGGGGCAAGCGUUGUUCGGAAUUACUGGGCGUAAAGCGCGUGUAGGUGGCCUUGUCAGUCUGAUGUGAAAGCCCAGGGCUCAACCCUGGAAGUGCAUCGGAUACUACAAGGCUGGAGUACUGAAGAGGAUAGCGGAAUUCCCGGUGUAGAGGUGAAAUUCGUAGAUAUCGGGAGGAACACCAGUGGCGAAGGCGGCUAUCUGGGCAGAUACUGACACUGAGACGCGAAAGCGUGGGGAGCAAACAGG
rnacentral:rRNA from 1 species